rnacentral:lncRNA from 1 species
AAAAACAAAAAGUAUAUUAGGAAAGUGAGAACACGAAUAGUUGGAAGUUUGUAGCUUCUUUCUUAUACGCUCCUCCAAAUUCCCAAUCUUUAUACACUUCCAUUGUUAUGAUUCAAGCUACAAUCAAGUGAUAUCUUUAGUUCUAUCUAUAAUCAAAGCGAGAUCUUUAAUUCUUGCCCUCCAAUGUUAAAAGAGUUUUAAUGCAUAUCCUCAUACGGUUUUAAGGCGAUGACACAGGCAUGGAAUCGCUCUCAUCUUCAAUCAUUUGAACCAAUAAAAUCUCCAAGACCCUUAUCAUGGUCACCCUUUCCAUUCAAUAGCUAUAAUGGUGAAGCGCUUUUCAGUGUUGUAUAAUUUGAUUCAUGCUUUACUUUGAAUUGAUGAAGAAGACUUCGAUUUUUAUUGGUUGUAUGAGCACUGUCAACAACAACUCAAAAAGUUAUAUGUACAAAUUCUUUAUAUUUCUUUUUUUUUCAUCUGUAUUGUUAUUAUUAAAUUCCAUAAAAUGAUAUGUAUGUUGCUUUUUUUGUUUACUUGUUAUGUGUUUCUCUACUAAACUUAAUCAACUAGCAAAUACAAGUGUAGUAAGAACUGGUGGAAAGCGGAUCAUUUCCUGAGCAGGCACAAUAACAUCCAGUAUGUUGGUCCUGAUAUAAUAACUUAGAUAUCAAAGUUUUAUAUAUACAUAUGUCUCUGACCAAACACAAGAUUUACACAAGUAGACUUCUCCUGAAUCACCAUGAGGUGUCUCGGAGAAUAUCCACACGUGUGGUUUGGUUCAUUCGUAAGGCCAAAUUGUGUUUAAGGAAACAUUCAUGUUAAUGGCAUCGUUAUUUUGUCUCAGCCAUGGUGUUGUGUUUAUUUUAGUGGCUUGUUAUACUAUAAAUUAAAAGUGUCGAACUUUUGAAAGUACUCAUAUGUUUUUGUUAGAAUGUUCUAUAUCUAUUCACAUCAAAAACAACCUCUAUACCUCAGACAAGAUGGGGUGUUUUGUGUACGCCUCACUUUUUCAUAAGCGCACUCAUGAGAUCACAUUGGUCAUGGUGUUAUUUGUUCUAGAUCUAAUCAUACUUUUUGAGAUAAUAUUUCUUACCUGCAUUUCUUUUAAAAUUUAUUCACUUAACUUAAGGAAAUGUGUCUAAUUUAUAUGGUGAAAUUUGUUUGUUUAAAUGUCAAUUGUUACUUUUAAAGAAAAUUCGUUAAUAUUAUUUCACUCUGACAUACCCUAUUGUUCUGUAAUUUGGUAAAUUACAACAACUUAGAAAAUGCACAAGGUUGAACAUACCAUAUUUACUUGUAAAUAUGUUACUCUUUCUGCUAUGGAAACUGGACAACCAGCACUUUCCAUUAUCUCAAGUAAAAUAGGAAUUGAGACUUCGCAUUCUCCAUAAAUCAUUUGGAAUAAUAUGCUUGCGUAUCAUCUUGGUUGUUAAAAGAUUAGCUCUCUAGAUUUUAAAAUUAAAUUCAGCAUACAUUCGUCAAAUGUUUAUGUCCUUGACCAUUGCAGGUGCAUUAAACUACUACGCUUCGUCAACACACUGCUAGCCUUGCAAUCACAAUAUGUGUAUUAGUGACGCUAGGCUGUUGUAAUCUGCCUUGACUUUGUCAAUUGCUAGCCCUUACACUAAGAAUAUAUGAAGUCUUUGUUGGGUUUUAUUUGCCCUGAUUUCUUACCAUAAAUAGGUUUUCCUUUUAGAAAAAUAUUUUGGAUUGACUAAUCCUUUUAUCUAGUAGGAAAAAGUUUAGGACUCUAUAAAUAGAAGAGUGUUCCUUCUAACUUAAUCAGCAUUUACAAUGUAGUCUUAAAGGGCUUUGAGAGUUUUGGUUAGGGGGUGAAUUUUUGGGUCACAAGCUUGAUACGUUAUCACUUCUGUGAACCUCUCAUGUAUUCCGAGUGAAUUGGUUAAGGUUGUUUCUCUCUGUAUUUUGUACUCUCAUAUUUAUGGUGGAUUGCUUAUCUCCUUUAUGGACGUAGGUCGAUUGACCGAACCACGUUAAAUCUUUGUGACUUUUGGUAUAUUUCUCGUUGUCUUCUUACUCGAGGUCUUUUGAGGUUUGUUUUGCAGCUUUCGCGUUUACACUUGAUUAUUUCCGAUCCUAACAAGUGGUAUCAGAGCCAGAUUCAAUGAUCGAGUCAGCUUCAGUGGUUCGAUAAUCGAUGAUUGAACCAGGUUAGAAAGAGGUGUUCAUCUUGGCGUGUGUAGUUUUAGCAGCAACCUUUUUUACAGUAAUGAAGAUUUUGUUGGAGAAAUUGUUUCAGAAAGGUUCUCUGUGUUGAGACAUAAAUUUUGCAAAGGAGAUUAUGGAGAUGAGAAGCAAGUUGUUGAAGAUUAAGUAAAGAAGGUGGACAAAUUUAUUUUGUCAGAAAUUUAGGCCAAGGGGGAGAUUUGUUGGGUUUUAUUUGCCCUGAUUUCUUACCAUAAAUAGGUUUUCCUUUUAGAAAAAGGUUUUAGAUUGACUAAUCCUUUUUUCUAGUAGGAAAAGGUUUAGGACUCUAUAAAUAGAGGAACGUUCCUUCUAACUUAAUCAGCAUUCACAAUGUAGUCUUAAAGGGCUUUGAGAGUUUUGGUUAGGGGGAGAAUUUGUGGGUCACAAGCUUGAUACGUUGUCACUUGUGUGAACCUCUCAUGUAUUCCGAGUGAAUUGGUUGAGGUUGUUUCUCUCUGUAUUUUGUACUCUCAUAUUUAUUGUGGAUUGCUCAUUUCCUUUGUGGACGUAGGUCGAUUGACCAAACCACGUUAAAUCUUUGUGUCUUUUGGUAUAUUUCUCGUUGUCUUCUUACUCGUGGUCUUUUGAGGUUAGCUUUGCAGCUUUCGCGUUUACACCUGCUUAUUUCCGAUCGUAUCAGUCUUCUCCACUCUUAGCAGGUUGUAAUCCACGUGAAGAUUAUUACCCUCCAAUUCUUAAAUAGUAUAAUUGCUUAUACUUUUAGGGUUUUUCGGUGAUGACAAUGUGAUGGAAUCGAUCUCGUCUUCAUCAGCUGAACCAAUCGAAACUUUAAACUUAGUCAUUUUAGCUCAUUAAUCUACCUUGUUCAUCUAUGAAACUAAUAAUCAUGGGAUUUGUGUGAAUCCCUCAAUUAUAUCUACUGCAUGUAAGUCAAAAUCCUUGUGUACUCGUCUAGAAUAACAAGUUCUACUAUUGCCUCGAAGCUGAACUCUAGCCUUUAAAAUAUGUAGAUCCACAAUCCACAUAUGUUAUCACAAAAAUUAAAGCUCUAUCUAAUUGCAGUUUUAUCAAUGUAUAAUGUCUUAAUGGAUUGAACCCCAUUUAGGAUUCAUAUGGAUGAUUCUACCACAAUCAACUCAGAGAAAAUUUGCAUCCCUUUGUAGAUUUCUUCAAAUUAAAUCCACAUUGUUGAUGGGGAAUACUAGCUAAAUUAAAUCAUAGAUUUGAUAUUAAUGGACACCCCAUGCUCUCACUAGAUAAAAGUACACAAAUCUCUUGAAUUUACUUCAAACUUUAUCUUAUCCUAAUAGAAAAUUUUACCUUAUUAGCAGAUUGAACUUACAUGUAAUAAGGAAUGAACUAUGAUACACAUACUAUUAUUUCCUCUAAUUAUCGUGUAGAUGCCUCCUUAAGUAUGGUAUACCAUAUUUAGCUAGAUUUAAUAUCUUCUUUUCUACUCUAUGAAUUUUUUGAAUGCGGUUAAUCUAAAAAUCACGUGCAAAAGAUAAAACUAAAUUAGUAAAACAUCUACAAGAAUGUUUCCUUUUUAAGAGAAUGUUUACUCUUGCGAAAUAACUCUUCUCAAUCUCCUAAUGAUACUAAUAUUCAAUGCCACAUUUUAUUACCCUUUAAUUUCCACUCUCCCUAUAAAAUAUGCACCAUAAGUAAAGAGUAAGACUCAAUAAUGAUAUUGACAAUUUCAUGGUCAAUAUAGUAAUUAAGAUUCUCCCUUAUGUCUAUAGAUUUAAAUAUAAUGUCGGUUAUAUCAUGAAUUUUGAAACCUUUAGCUACUACCAGAUUAACACUAUGAUCCCUGAUAUAAAAAAGUUUUGGAACUAGCCAUAAGUCAAAGACCUAAUCUAGAGCCUCACACGUUGAACUAAGGUUGGUAACACUGUUUUAUGUCCUAAAUUAAUGCAUAUCAAUCAUUUAGGAGGUUUUAGAGUUAAAACCUCAAGGAACGUCCAUGACGUCCAAUGAAUUGUGAAAAAGAGGUAGUAUGCCUUGGCAUGUUUCAUGGGGUUUUAAGAGUUGGAAUUCAAUGAAAUUAGGUAAAAAGGUGUUAAACAUAUUUUAGAGUGUGUUUACGAUCAAAACGUCUGGGUAAGAUUCCCCAAAGACCACUUUAGGGUCCCUUGAGGAGGACCUUUCCAAAAUGACCAAAACUCUCAAAUGACAGUGUCCAAUUACAAGACCAAUCAACAAGCCGUUGUCUAGGCGACGAGGCAUCGAUGGCCUCCAUAGGUGAUGCCUUAUCCAUUUUCAAAAUGUGUCCAAAAACCAAGUCUGUGACACCAUCGACUGUUGUGCAGCACGGAGGGCAUGAGCUAGUGUCGAUUGACCUACAGACCGUAGGUCGGGGUCUCGUUGGUCAGUUCUGGUUUUUACUAUCCAAUUAAAGUAAGUCAUUUAAUUUAAUUAGUUUGUUAGGUAGUUAAUUAAGGGUUAGGGGAAGUCUAGUUAAGUUAAUUAAGAGACUAUAUAAAUACAUAACCCUCAUUAAACUAACCUAACUCACUUCAAUCCCCAAAUUUAAAUCUCUUUUCCUUCUCUUUACUUUCUCUCUUCCCAAAGAAGACUUCACUGGAGACCAAGAUCAAAGUUUUAGGGCAGCAAGAAGUUUACUUUUCUCCAUUAAUAUUCAAGGAUUGUUAAGGUAUGUGAACUCUUCACCUUUUAAACUCCUAUCCCCAAAGGGUUCUUUAAAAUUGAUUUCCAAACGUUGAGAAAAACAUGGGUAUCAUUUUUAAUCCAAAAUUGAUGUUCUAAAUUGUUUUGUUGUUUAAUUAUUUUUAUUAUUAUGAAUGAAUUAUGAUGAAUUAUUGCUGAAUUAGGGUAGUUUUGAUGUUAUGGAUUGAUGUCGAACUGAUUAGUGAUGAUGCAGUUAACUUAGCUCUUGUAAUUAACUAUUGUAUGAUGUUAUUAAGCCUAUUAUAAGAUGAAUAUGGUUGGUUGAUGGUAAUACCAUGGAGAAGGAUUGUGAAGGUGAAUUGGUAAGACUUAUUAUAUUGAAUCAUUACUUCAAUUGUGAUGGCUUAUACUUGAUGAUGGUAUUCAAUUGAAUUGUUGGUUGUGAUUAGAUUAUAUAGUUGAUGGUAUUGAUUAUAUGGAUUGUGAUAUUAUGAUUAAGGUUUAAUGAUAUAAAUUUGAUUAUGAAUCACUUAUGUUCCUUACUAUGAGUUGAUGAUGAUAAUGUUUAAACCUCACAUAUGAGGAUUGUUAUGAAAGGAAGUUCUGAUGCAAUUCCAAAUGAGCUGAUAAUUAUGAUAUACAAAGGGUUAGUCCUCUAUGAAAUAUAUAUUUCACUAGUUGGCCUUGAUGGAAAUCCUAGGAGGGUGUUUUUAUAAAGUAAAUAAUAUGCAUAUGUUGACUUUACAUGUUGAUGAACUCAUAUGAUGUUAGUUUCACUUAUGAAAAUGUUAUUGGUCUAUAUUGCUAAAUAUGAGGAUGAUUACUCAUGAUGCUAAGUUAUAUGAUGUUAGAUAUUGCUUAUGAUCCUUUGUUUGGUUUAUUUGGUUGUGUGGGAUUAUGGGACUUCACUUAAUCAUUGCACUUGUAAGCUUGGUGAUGGGUUAUGAGUAAUGGUCUCACAUAUAUUGUAAUGUUAUGAACUCUUGUUCAUGAUUUGUUGUUAUAAAAUGAUGUUAGAGUUGAUUGGUUAUGAGAUCUAGUAUGCUACUACACAUGUUGACUUGACUUUAUUUGAUGAUGUUGGUCUUGUGUCAAGGAAUAUAUGAUGAUUUUCUUAUAUGUGUUCUUGGUUGUGCAUAAGGCUUUUCAAAGUAACUUGGCAUGGUUUUGAUCAAAUGUCCUUUUAAGCAUGAUGUCAAACAUUAUAUCUAAAAUGCUAAUCAUCAUACACUUUCAUUUUUUUAUUCAAGCUACAAUCAAGGUGAGAUCUUUAAGUAUAGCUACAAUAAAAGUGAGAUCUUUAAUUUUUAUACUCCAAUGAUAAAAGAGUUUUAAUGCUUAUACUUUUGUGGAUUUCAGGUGAUUACACAUUGAUGAAAUCGAUCUCUUCUUUAAUCCAUUGAACCAAUCGAAACUCUAAGCUUUGUCAUUCAACUCAUUACUCUACCUUUUUCAUCUUCGAAACUAAUCAUCAUGGAAGUUGUGAAUUCAUCAGUUAUAUCUACUACCACUAAGUCCAAAUCUGGUGUAAAUAUAACUAGUCAUGUAAAAUAAGUUCUACUAUUGUCCGGAAGCUUAACUCUAGCCUUCAAAAUGUACAGAUCCAGUAUCCACAUAUGCUAUGACCAAAAAUAAAGCUCUAUGUUUCAGCUCUAUUUGAAUGGAUUGAACCCCAUUCAGGAUUAGUACCAUCAUUUAAGACUUUAUUUAGAUGAUUCUACCACAAUGAAAUCGGAGAAAAAUUUAUGUUGCAUCCUUUUGUACGUUUUUGCAGAUCUGCCUUGUUGAUGGUGAAUUUUAGCAGAAACUAAAGUUUUGAUUUGGUACUAAGGACAGUCCAAGCUCUCACCAGGUGUAAGUAUACAAAUCAAUUGAAUUUACUUCAAACUUUAGCUUAUCAUAAUAGAAAUUUUACCUUAGCAGAUUGAACUUACAUGUAUUCUGUAAUGGAUCAUGUACUAUGAUACGCAUAAAUCUAUUAUCUCUGUUAAUCGUGUAGAUGCCUCCUUAUGUAUGAUGUAAAAUAUUUAUCUAGAUUGAGUAUCUUCAUUUUUGCGUUGUAAAUUUCUUGAAAGAUAAAACUUAAUUAGUAAAAAUUACUCAAGAAUAUUUUAUUUUUCUAAGGGAAUGUUUACUCUUGCAAAAUAUCUUUUCUCAAUCUACCGAUGAUACUUAUUUUCAAUUCCACACUCCAAGAUACUUUCCACUCACCCUAUAAAAUAUGCGUCAUAUAUAGCUACAACGUCAAAUUCGUCACUGAUUAUUCGCUUUUGAUGACAAAUUUUACUUUUCGUGCUUAAAUAUAUGAG